rnacentral:rRNA from 1 species
UUGGCCGAUCCUGUGGCGAGCCAAAGUAACGUUUGGCCGUCGCAACGCGCGGAAAGGGGUGGGCUGACUACGGUUGGCUUAAGGUACGUGCUAAUCCCUUGGGAUAACCAAGCUUUGGUGAUAAGACCCGACAGGUCAAGGCACCAAAGGGCAGCUGGAGCAAUCCAACUGCUGGUAGGUUCACUUUUCAAAAUGUGAACCUUUAAUUGCUGUGAUGCCCUUAGAUGUUCUGGGCCGCACGCGCGCUACACUGACGGAGCCAGCGAGUACUUCCUUGUCCGAAAGGUC